rnacentral:rRNA from 1 species
GAUGAACGCUGGCGGCGUGCCUAAUACAUGCAAGUCGAGCGAACAGACGAGGAGCUUGCUCCUCUGACGUUAGCGGCGGACGGGUGAGUAACACGUGGAUAACCUACCUAUAAGACUGGGAUAACUUCGGGAAACCGGAGCUAAUACCGGAUAAUAUAUUGAACCGCAUGGUUCAAUAGUGAAAGACGGUUUUGCUGUCACUUAUAGAUGGAUCCGCGCCGCAUUAGUUAGUUGGUAAGGUAACGGCUUACCAAGGCGACGAUGCGUAGCCGACCUGAGAGGGUGAUCGGCCACACUGGAACUGAGACACGGUCCAGACUCCUACGGGAGGCAGCAGUAGGGAAUCUUCCGCAAUGGGCGAAAGCCUGACGGAGCAACGCCGCGUGAGUGAUGAAGGUCUUCGGAUCGUAAAACUCUGUUAUUAGGGAAGAACAAAUGUGUAAGUAACUAUGCACGUCUUGACGGUACCUAAUCAGAAAGCCACGGCUAACUACGUG